UCCUACGGGAGGCAGCAGUGGGGAAUUUUGGACAAUGGGGGCAACCCUGAUCCAGCAAUGCCGCGUGUGUGAAGAAGGCCUUCGGGUUGUAAAGCACUUUUGUCCGGGAAGAAAUCGCACCUGAUAAUACCGGGUGUGGAUGACGGUACCGGAAGAAUAAGGACCGGCUAACUACGUGCCAGCAGCCGCGGUAAUACGUAGGGUCCAAGCGUUAAUCGGAAUUACUGGGCGUAAAGCGUGCGCAGGCGGUUGUGCAAGACCGAUGUGAAAUCCCCGGGCUUAACCUGGGAAUUGCAUUGGUGACUGCACGGCUAGAGUGUGUCAGAGGGGGGUAGAAUUCCACGUGUAGCAGUGAAAUGCGUAGAGAUGUGGAGGAAUACCGAUGGCGAAGGCAGCCCCCUGGGAUAACACUGACGCUCAUGCACGAAAGCGUGGGGAGCAAACAGGAUUAGAUACCCUGGUAGUCCACGCCCUAAACGAUGUCAACUAGUUGUUGGGGAUUCAUUUCCUUAGUAACGUAGCUAACGCGUGAAGUGACCGCCUG
rnacentral:rRNA from 1 species